CCUAUUCAGCUUUGUUUGGUUGAGGUAAAGGCUCACCAAGGCGACGACGGGUAGCCGGCCUGAGAGGGUGACCGGCCACACUGGAACUGAGACACGGUCCAGACUCCUACGGGAGGCAGCAGUGGGGAAUAUUGCACAAUGGGCGCAAGCCUGAUGCAGCAACGCCGCGUGAGGGAUGAAGGCCUUCGGGUUGUAAACCUCUUUUAGCAGGGAAGAAGCGAAAGUGACGGUACCUGCAGAAAAAGCACCGGCUAACUACGUGCCAGCAGCCGCGGUAAUACGUAGGGUGCAAGCGUUGUCCGGAAUUAUUGGGCGUAAAGAGCUCGUAGGCGGUUCGUCGCGUCUGCUGUGAAAACUGGAAGCUCAACUUCCAGCCUGCAGUGGGUACGGGCAGACUAGAGUGCGGUAGGGGAGAACGGAAUUCCUGGUGUAGCGGUGGAAUGCGCAGAUAUCAGGAGGAACACCGAUGGCGAAGGCAGUUCUCUGGGCCGUUACUGACGCUGAGGAGCGAAAGCGUGGGGAGCGAACAGGAUUAGAUACCCUGGUAGUCCACGCCGUAAACGGUGGGUGCUAGCUGUGGGCCACAUUCCACGUGGUCCGUGACGAAGUUAACACAUUAAGCACCCCGCCUGGGGAGUACGG
rnacentral:rRNA from 1 species